GAGGGGGAGACUUGUACUUGUACCAAUGAUGAUGUUGAGGAGGAGGAGGUGGAGACUUGUACUUAUACCAACGAUGAUGGUGGGGAGGAGGAGGUGAAGGUGGUGGCGGAGAUUUAUACUUAUACCAGUGAUGAUGGUGGGGAGGAGGAGGUGAAGGUGGUGGAGGAGACUUGUAGUUAUACCAGUGAUGAUGGUGGGGAGGAGGAGGUGAAGGUGGUGGCGGGGACUUGUACUUAUACCAAUGAUGAUGGUGGGGAGGAGGAGGUGAAGGUAGUGGAGGAGACUUGUAGUUAUACCAGUGAUGAUGGUGGGGACGAGGAGGUGAAGGUGGUGGCGGGGACUUGUACUUAUACCAGUGAUGAUGGUGGGGAGGAGGAGGUGAAGGUGGUGGGGGAGACUUGUAGUUAUACCAGUGAUGAUGGUGGGGAGGAGGAGGUGAAGGUGGUGGCGGAGACUUGUACUUAUACCGGUGAUGAUGGUGGGGGGGAGGAGGUGAAGGUGAUGGCGGAGACUUGUACUUAUACCGGUGAUGAUGGUGAGGAAGUGGUGGAGACUUGUACUUGUACCAUGGUACCGGAGGUGGUGGAGAUGAUGGUGAGGAAGUGGUGGAGACUUGUACUUGUACCAUGGUACCGGAGGUGGUGGAGGCGAUUUAUAUUUGUACCAAUGAUGAUGAGGUGGUGGAGGCGAUUUAUAUUUGUACCAAUGAUGAUGAGGUGGUGGCUUGUACUUGUACACCGGGGUAAGGGGAAGUGGUGAUUUAUACUUAUCAUGGUGGUGGUGGUGGUGGUGGUG
rnacentral:lncRNA from 1 species